rnacentral:sRNA from 1 species
GCUCUUUGACAUACUUGAUAUAAGGCGACAAUAAUAGAUAACUCACGCAGGUGCAAUGCCUGCACAGUGAAUAACAAUACCGCUUGCAAGGUCAGACUUAGCGUGCUGACCGCUGAACGGCUUACGACCGACACCCCGCCCCUCGCAAAGGGCUUGCAAGCAC